rnacentral:rRNA from 1 species
UACAGAGGUCUCGAGCGUUGUUCGGAUUCAUUGGGCGUAAAGGGUGCGUGAGGUGGUCUGGUAAGUCGGAUGUGAAAUCCCGGGGCGUUAACCUCGGAACUGCAUUCGAUACUGCCGGACCUGGAGUACUGGAGAGGAGAUCGGAAUUUACGGUGUAGCAGUGAAAUGCGUAGAUAUCGUAAGGAAGACCAGUGGCGAAGGCGGAUCGUCUGGACAGUUACUGACACUGAGGCACGAAGGCCAGGGGAGCAAACGGG